CAUAGUCCUAGGAAGAAAGGCAUAGACUAUUUGUUACUAGGACAAAUUAAAUAUUCUGAUUUGAAAAGCUUAACUGCAGUUUGGUACUAUACAAGUUAUUUUUGCGGUGUCAUUUAGAUUUCGAAAUGAAUUUGCUUAUAAUAGUUGUUUUCUUUAAUGGUCAUUUGACAUGAGAAAAAGCUUAACUUAGCUUUCUAUUUGUUGCCCUUAUGUAUUUGCAGGCUGGUAUCUCUGAGUAUCUUUUUUUUUUUUUGCUGUGAUUGUAGACAUCUUGGAGAUAACUUAGGUAGCCAAUUAGUGUUGCUUUAAGUCCUACUAACACAUCAAUUGUACAAUGGAAAGGAUGUUGACAAGAAGAGGAAGUCAUCAAUGGCAUGUCAGCCACAACCAGACUCUCAGCCACGCACUAUGGGGUAAAAGACAAAUGGCAGAAUGGGAGUUUUUAUGUGAUCAGUUAUUUACGAGGAGAAGAUUAUCAUGUAUAUUAGUUAUUACCUGAUAAAUAGCAUAGCAGCAAACAUUUGAACAUAUAUAUAUUUGCAUUUUUAUAAACUCAUGUUAGCUGGUGUAGUGGAAAAAAAUUGAUAUUAUGCCUUUGUUUAUCACUAGAUUAUCCAUAA